CUCAUUCUUUGUGUGUUUUCAUUGUGUGCCAAGGCAACAACUAUGAACCUAGCUGAUGCUUCUGUGCUUCGUCCAAGCUCGUAUGGAAUGGUUAAGAGAAGAAGUCUACCUAUUGAUCAAGAACAGGCAGAUCCAAUUAAGAGUGGAGCUGGAUCAACUUUUGGAAAUCAAAAAAAUAAGCCAGCUGAUAAACCAUGUUGUGGCAAUUACUAGAUGUUGUGUUGCUAUAGAGUGGUUCUUCUUUGUAUAUAAGUUAUGGUACCAUUUGUACUCUAUUCAAUAUAUUUAUUUUUAGGGAAAAUGUAUAUGUUAUUUUUAAUCUCAAUAAACAAAUUGUUAAUCUAA